AGCCAGAUUCAUUUCUGCUGCGCCACAACAGGAAUUCCAACAGUAUCUUAACAAAUGUUUUACUUCCAACUUUCCCUCCAGAGCAUUCUGCAGAAGGGUCUAAUUACUCUUCCUCAGAUGUGGCUCUGAUUAUAUUGUCCUCUUACCCAUAGUUUGGAACCUCAUUUGGCAGUAGGGCACGAGAAUUUUCUGAAAGGGCCCUUUCAACAUAAAACUACUAGAUCCUGGAUAAAAGUUCAUUUUAACAACUUGUUACACCUUACACUUAGAUUAAGUCUUGGACAUAGUACCCUAAUAGCCCUACCACAUAAACUAAAACCAAACAGAGAGCAAUAAGCAGUAUACAAGCACAGAAGACAUGUCUCCUCAGCAUUACAAUAUUUCAGAAGAUUAAACUUCAGGUCAAGGGCAGGUAGGAGUUAAGGCAGAUUUUUUAAAAAGCCAAAUUCAACUCUUUGCUAUUUAUAUAAGACACAGUGAACAAGAAUAUGAAAAUCAGAAAAAGGAUAAGAAAUGUAUACUAGGGAAAUACUAACGAAAAGGUCAGGCAGGUAUGUAAGAUUGGACAGAUUAGACUUUAAGACAAAGCACCACUGGGAAAUUAGCUUAGCAUUGCAGUAAAGUAUGGAAGGGGACUCCCAUUGCUGGAGUUUGAAUCCUAGUUCUACCACUUACUGGCUAUGCGAGCUUCGGCAAGUAACCUAGCCUCUGUGUCUCUACCUCUUUUCUAUAAAAUCUGUAUUGCAAUAGUCUCUACAACUGAUGAGAAGACUGAACGAGUUAAUAUGCAGGAAAUCUAUCAACUGUGACCCACAGUAAGAGCUACGGCUCAGGCUUCAGAAUCUUAGCAGCUGGAGUCUAAAAAAGCCUGAGAAAUCUGGAGAAAACACAAAACAAACCUGUUUCCACUCUCAUGAAAGAAAUGACUUCAGAAUCAACUCUGCACACUUGUUUUACUUAUAAAGCUGAUAAGAACAGAAGACACAAUACCUUUUGGAGUUCUUCAAUUCUGACUUCAUACGUUGCUAAAAUAAACAUGAAAAAAUUA